CAGGAGUGGGGCAGGUGGAAAUCUCAGUUUCGCAGAGAAAGAAGCAAGCGAAGACAAUCAUGUGUCUGUGAUAAGAAAGAGGCGAAGCAAUGUUUUGG